GGCUGGUGCCAAGGCAAUGAGUUACCUCAACUGCUCAGUCAGUUACACAUCAAAUGCCUUGUUCUACUCAUCCCCCGCUUCUCACUACUGCAUUUGACUCGUCAUUU
ensembl:Y_RNA Y_RNA Y RNA